rnacentral:rRNA from 1 species
GACGAAGCCCUGGGUCGCAAACGGGAUUAGAUACCCCGGUAGUCCAGGGUGUAAACGCUGCAGACUUGGUGUUGGGGACCCUUCGGGGGUGUUCAGUGCCGGAGAGAAGUUGUUAAGUCUGCUACUUGGGGAGUACGUCCGCAAGGAUGAAACUUAAAGGAAUUGGCGGGGGAGCACCGCAACGGGAGGAACGUGCGGUUUAAUUGGAUUCAACACCGGAAAACUCACCAGCAGCGACUGUUACAUGAAAGUCAGGCCGAUGACCUUACUAGAUUUUCAGAGAGGUGGUGCAUGGCCGUCGUCAGUUCGUACCGUAAGGCGUUCUCUUAAGUGAGAUAACGAACGAGACCCUC